rnacentral:tRNA from 1 species
GGCUUCAUAGUUCAGUAGUGUAGAAUGCCAGCCUGUCACGCUGGAGGUCGUGGGUUCGAUUCCCAUCGGGGUCGCCA